UGAGGAGGCCAUAGAUGUCAUUGAAACUAUCAACGGGCCUGCUACACAUACAAGUAUCCAAGCUUCCAAGUUGGCCCAGCCCAAAUCGAAGACACGCGCAUAAGGAAGCAUAACAUGGCGCGUCAAAAUCACGCGCUCAACACAAACAGUUACGUAUGGCAGACUCUUCCACUUCCUCCACUUCUUCCACUUCUCAAAACGCUUCGAAACCAAGGAAACACUCCCAAUUUCGAGCAAAAAUCAAAGUUCAAAAUAUAGAAAUCGUUGUUCGAAACCUCCAUCAAAACAACAUCAAACUCUCCGUGAAGAAUCUGAAGACAAAACGAAGCAAAUACACUCAAC